GUGCUUGCUACGGUGGCACAUACACUAAAAUUGGAUCGAUACAGAGAAGAUUAGCAUGGCGCCUUUGCGCAGGGGCCAUGCUAAUCUUCUCUGUAUCGAUCCAAUUUUAG